UUGCUUAACACAUGCAAGUCGAGCGGAAAGGCCCCUUCGGGGGUACUCGAGCGGCGAACGGGUGAGUAACACGUGAGCAACCUGCCCCUGACUCUGGGAUAAGCCCGGGAAACUGGGUCUAAUACCGGAUGUAACCACUGGUCGCAUGGUCUGGUGGUGGAAAGUUUUUCGGUUGGGGAUGGGCUCGCGGCCUAUCAGCUUGUUGGUGGGGUGAUGGCCUACCAAGGCGACGACGGGUAACCGGCCUGAGAGGGCGACCGGUCACACUGGGACUGAGACACGGCCCAGACUCCUACGGGAGGCAGCAGUGGGGAAUAUUGCGCAAUGGGCGGAAGCCUGACGCAGCGACGCCGCGUGAGGGAUGACGGCCUUCGGGUUGUAAACCUCUUUCAGCAGGGACGAAGCUAACGUGACGGUACCUGCAGAAGAAGCGCCGGCUAACUACGUGCCAGCAGCCGCGGUAAUACGUAGGGCGCAAGCGUUGUCCGGAAUUAUUGGGCGUAAAGAGCUCGUAGGCGGUUUGUCGCGUCUGUCGUGAAAGCCCACGGCUUAACCGUGGGUCUGCGGUGGAUACGGGCAGACUAGAGGCAGGCAGGGGAGACUGGAAUAUCAA
rnacentral:rRNA from 1 species